UCCCGAAUCGUCUAGUGGCAGGACAGAAGAUUCUGGCUCUUCUAACGGUGGUUCGAAUCCAUCUUCGGGAU
rnacentral:tRNA from 1 species